GCGUGGGGCUUGAACUCACGACCCUGAGAUCAAGAAUCACGUGCUCUUUUGACUGAGCCAGGCAGGCGCAACAAGACAGACAUCUGAGUGCCUAUUUCAUCUGUAAAAUGGGCAUGAAGGUUAGGCUGGGAUGUAAAAACAGUGUGUGUAGAGUACAGUGCCAGCUACAGGUCAGUAUUUGCAGCCUCUGCCUCGUGGGAUAUUCCCUGCCGUAAAACGAGGUGCAAAGGCCAAGGGCUGAGUCCUAGGCCUGGAUCUGCAGACCUGGUGGAACCUUCCUGGCCUCCGCAGUAAACCGGGAUGGAUGGCAAGUCUCAGAGCGGCCGCUCUCACGAAUUCCCUCCGGGAAAGGCGCCCCGUGCAGAAUGGAGCCCUGCAGCAGGAGAAGUGACCGCUGCUCAGGUGGGGGUUUUGGCUGUGCGGGUUCCAAGCCCAGACUGAGCGAAGGGACAGCGAGAGGUGCAAGUUGAACCGAGAGGAAAGUCCUGCAACCAGGGACGGAGGGAACGUCAAGUAGGAGGAAACCAGGCCCGAGCCUCCGACUCUGGGUCUGAGGCUGUUCCUCGGUGCGCUGCAGUUCCGGAGACGCCCAGAAGGAGGUGCUGUUCCUGCAUUCUUCCUGCUCCCGCCCAGCUCUCCAGGAAGCUACAGGUACUGCUAUGAACUCAGCAUAUUUUCUCUCAAAAAGGAAAAGAAGUAUUUUCCAGCUCUGUCUACUGAGAAAGCCUAGAAAUAAAAACAAAGUUGCUAAGGAGUGCCCAGGUUAUGGCCUCUAAUUACCACUACCACUUCCCACUAAAAGAAAGCAAGCUUCUUGGAAAAAUGGCCGAUUCCAGAUUAGGCACAGGAAACGUACAGGUUGAGCCUGGAACAUCAUGUGACCCAAGACCGCAAGAGCUUUAUCAGGGAAUCCUUGAGUCAUGCAAAAAGACUCAGCAACCAGGCUGAACGGUCUCUUCCUGGACAGAGGGAAUGCUCUGAACAUUUUUAAGACUACAAACGGCCAUGGAUUGAAACACAUCAAAUGUGUUUGAAUUCACCCGCUCAUAUACCUGCAAAUCCCCAACGGAGACAGUUACAGAACGUGUUAUUUUGGAAAACUGGGAGAUAAAAGAAGAGAUCUUACCUUUCCUCUAUGAACUGCACCUUGUAGUUGAUGAGAGGAGUUUCUCUUUUUGGAAGUAUUCCAGUUAAGAAAUAAGAAAUCUUCGGAUUAGAAUAUGACUGUUUUGCAUCCCCUAAUGAAUUAACGGAGGUAGGCAAUAAUCAUCAGCAGCAGUCAGCACACAAAAAGAACAGACCUCUAGACAUGUACGCCUCCUGACAGAAGUGCAUAGCCUACCAUAAAAUAGACCUUCUGGGGGCACCUGAGUGGCUCAGUGGGUUAAAGCCUCUGC